UAUUCACUUCUAAAAGAGAAUUAAAAUGGCGCUUAGUCCCGGAGAUCCCAGUUCCUAUGCCCGACCGGAUCAUGUGAAAACUACUCAUAUUCAUUUAGAUUGGGAUUUGGAUUUUGACAAGAAGAUUCUUUCUGGUGAAUGCAUUCUGUCCAUGGAGAAAGUGGAUAAUGGAGUGAGCUGUGUACUACUGGACUGUAGAACUAUAUCAGUAUCUAGUGUCAUCUAUGAACCAACAGGGGAGAAUUUGACUUUCAAGAUUGACGGCGAGACUAGUUUUGGUUCCAGGAUGGAGAUUCAGCUCCCCUCAGGCUCUGAAAAAACUUUUAAGCUGAUCCUGAAGUACUCCACCAGUCCUGAGUGUUCAGCGCUGCAGUGGUUGUCCAAGGAGCAGACUGCUGGAGGUACUCAGCCCUAUGUAUUCUCUCAAUGUCAGGCCAUUCAUGCCAGAUCCAUGCUGCCUUGUCAGGAUACGCCUUCAGUUAAAGCUAGUUACUCUGCUAGUGUUACAGCACCUCUAGGGAUCACUGUUCUUAUGUCUGGGAUCAGGAAAUCUGAUGAAACUGCUGAGAUUUGGAAUGGAAAAAAGAAGUUUAAGUUUGAGCAGCCAAUACCUGUUCAAUCCUACCUUAUUGCCAUAGCUGCUGGAGCCAUUGUUUCUAAGAAGAUUGGACCAAGAUCCCAUGUUUGGGCUGAGGAGGCCUUUAUUGAGAAAGCUGCAUUUGAUUUCGCAGAUACAGAGGCCAUGCUGAAGACAGCAGAGGAUCUAUGUGGUCCAUAUGUUUGGGGAGAAUAUGAUAUUCUGAUUCUUCCUCCUUCCUUUCCCUUUGGCGGGAUGGAAAACCCAUGCCUCACCUUUGCUACCCCGUCUUUGCUCUCUGGGGAUAAAUCUAAUGCUGAUGUCAUAGCUCAUGAGAUUGCUCAUUCCUGGACCGGAAAUCUUGUGACCAACUGCAAUUUUGAGCACUUCUGGCUUAAUGAGGGUUUCACAGUAUUUGUGGAAAGAAAGAUACUGGGUCGUCUGCAUGGAGAACCCUAUCGACACCUUAGUGGCAUUUUAAGAUGGAAGCAACUAGAUGAAUGUGUUAAUGAGACAUUUGGUCCUGAAAGUCCAUUCACAAAGCUUGUUGUGGACCUGAAGGGAAUUGACCCUGAUGAUGCUUUCUCAGUUAUCCCGUAUGAGAAGGGAGCUACAUUCUUGUGGUAUCUAGAAGAGCUGGUGGGAGGAGCUGAUCAGUUUGAACCAUUCCUUCGUGCAUAUUUUGAGAAGUUUAAACCUAAAUCUAUCUCUACAGAUGACUUCAAGGAGUUUUUCAUUGAGUACUUCUCUAACGUUGAAGCUAUCAAGGAUAUUGAUUGGGCCACCUGGUUGUAUGUCUCAGGAAUGCCACCAUACAAGCCUAAGUUUGAUGAGAGCCUGGUUCUUGAGUGCUAUAGUUUAGCUGAGAACUGGAGAAACUGGAAUCCUGACUAUCCCUGUACCUUCACAGGGUCAGAAAUCAAAUCAUUCUCUAGUGCUCAGAUCAGGGAGUUCCUGAACAGUCUAUUAGUUGGAUCUGCCCUACUCCCUGCUGUAGUGGAGAAAAUGGAGAACCUCUAUAAACUUUCUGAGAGUUGUAACAUGGAGAUUCUGUUCUCCUGGAUUAGGGUUGGGAUUGCAGCAAGGUGGGAAGCAGCAGUUCCACUAGCAGUCAAGUUGGUUACAGACAUUGGAAGGAUGAAGUUUUUAAGACCACUGUAUCGUGAUCUGUAUGCCUGGGAGGCUAAGCGUCAGGUUGCACUGGAUACAUAUACAGCAAAUAAGAACCAGAUGAUAGCAGUGUGCAGGGAUAUGCUUGCCAAGGACCUACAUAUUUCACAAUGACCUCUACAAUCAUCUAAUGUAGUUUGACACAGGAAACUUGUGUUUAAAUUUCUAAUAGUGUUUGAACAUCAUGAACCAGUGAUUUUUAUCUGAUUUUGAAAGUUUUUAACCUAUAAGUUUAUAAAGUGUAAAUUAAAUUUUUUUACAGUUUGCAUUUUAAUACUAUUAGAUCAUGUUUGUGAUCCAAGGUCAAAUUGAUAAAUUUCAAAAUUUGUUGCUGAAAGUUUGAACUAUUUAGAGUAUUAUGACAAGUGGGCUAACAAGAACUGGCGUCACACACUCCCCACCCCACUACAAUUGAAAUUAUUCAACACAUAAUUAAAUUUUUGUAAUCUUAAAGCUUUAAACUUUUUUUCAGA
rnacentral:misc_RNA from 1 species